GUGCAGUCCGUGCGUGAGAUCCAUAGGGAGAAGCGUAAGCACUACGUGUUUGAAAUCACCAUGAAGAAUGGGAAGAGGAAAGUACUGGCUGUAGAGACAGCUGGUCUGAGGAGGGAGUGGAUUGGCCAGCUGUGGAGGGCCAUGCAUCUCUCAGGCCCAGGGGGCACAGACCCAGGCUACAUACGACAGCAGGACGUGAGGUCUGAUGACCUGAAGGUCAGAGGUCGCUUCAGCACCUAUAACAGCUCAGAAUGUGACAGCAUGAUGGAACCACUGGGGGUUCAUCGACCCCUCUCUGCACCCCUCAACCCCUCACCCCUGACCAAGACCUAGACCGGGGGACAGGAGUACCCACUGCCUCUCAGGCCCCCUCACCCCUGACCAAGACCUAGACCAGGGGGACAGGAGUACCCACUGCCUCUCAGGCCCCCUCACCCCUGACCAAGACCUAGACCAGGGGGACAGGAGUACCCACUGCCUCUCAGGCCCCCUCACCCCUGACCAAGACCUAGACCAGGGGGACAGGAGUACCCACUGCCUCUCAGGCCCCCUCACCCCUGACCAAGACCUAGACCAGGGGGACAGGAGUACCCACUGCCUCUCAGGCCCCCUCACCCCUGACCAAGACCUAGACCAGGGAAACAGGAGUACCCACUGUCUCUCUGGCCCCCUCACCCCUGACCAAAAUCUGGUCAGGGCUACCCUCUCUCUCUCCCUCUCUGACGAGCUCAGUAGUGAGGAAGCCAUAUGCCAGAGCACCAUCUCACAUUAUGGAGAGGAGGAUGAGGACAGUGUCCAUAGAUUUAGAAGGAGAUGUGAGGAGGAGAGAGAUGAAGAAGAGGAGGAAGAGUGUAAGGAGGAAGAGGAUCAGUAUGAUAUUCUACCAGCCCCCCGGAACUCUGAGUAUCACAUCAACCAAUCAGAUGAAGACUUGACUGAUGGAGAGGACCUCUAUGACUUCCCACUGUCCAAUAGCAGGGCAAGUGACCGCCAAGAUUAUAGCGAGAUGACAGAGAGCAUCUAUGACGUCCCCAGUUCCCUAAUGAGGAAAAUGUCUGAACACACACUUGCAGAGCCUUACCCUGGAGGUGAGAUACUGGUGGAGGACAGGGGCCUCCUGGAUGACAUGAUGGCCGGUCUGGGUGGAGGGACGGUGGGCUGGAUAACAGACCAUUUCCGGAGACCUUCUCACCUCGCUCAUCAACGCAUCCUUGACCGCUGGCUACGUCCCUUCCGUCUUCAAGAGAGCGAGAGUUGCACCCCUUCUGAAAAAACCUACACUCGAUCCCUCCGAUGUCAACAACUACAGACCAACCUAUCUGCUGCCUUUGAUACCGUGAACCAUCAGAUCCUCCUCUCCACCCUCUCCGAGCUGGGCAUCUCCGGCACCG
rnacentral:lncRNA from 1 species